CAGGGACUGAAACUGGUAGACCCGGCACUGCACUGUUUUGAAAGGCACAGCUGCUGAAAACGUUAUCCUUUGCAGAUACGAUCUUGCCUGCUUUCAUUUUCCCCAGACCCCGCCAGUUUCCAUGCAAUGAGCUAGCAUGUCUGCAACAGGAAAAGCCAAUUUGGUUGCCAAAGAUAGCAAACGGGGAUUUCUCUCACCCCAUUUCUAUUGGCUUCCUAGACUUUUCAUAGCUAAUGGACAGCAGCAAGUAUAGCACAUCUGUGGUUGAAGUGAAUAAGCAGUUAACUUUGGAGCUCUAGGGUCACACACUUAAUCUGGUCUUUCACUCUGAUCAGGGUGGUGUUCCAUGGGUGAUCCUGUUGAUGCCCUGGUGGAGAAUAGGAACAGCAAGCUCACAAGGAACAGCAAGGGCAGUAGACAAGCGUCCUAUCCGACCCGCUUCAAAAUUGGCCCCUUGGUAUAUGGAAGAACUACGGGGGCUGAAGCAGUGAGGUAGACGACUGGAGCGCAAGUGGAAGAAGACUCGACUCGAAUCUGACAGAUUACAAGAUAGAGCACAUUUGAAGAUCUAUGCUCUGGCAAUAUGGGCGUCAAAGAAGAAAUUCUUUUCGACCCAUAUUGCAUCCGCAAGUUCACGUCCGGCAGAGUUGUCCAGGGUUGUGAGAGGGCUAGUGAGUGCCCCUCCUCCCUUGAAUCAGAAUUUGGAACCAUCUAUUAUCCGCUGUAAUGUGCCUUUUAUCAGCUUCCGCUGAUACACCAGCUGCGUCCAUUUCUUGAGAUAAAUGACCUCAGAACAGUAGUACAUCUGCUGGUCACCUCCAGACUUGACUACUGCAAUGCACUCUAUGUGGGGCUGCCUUUGUAUGUAGUCCGGAAACUACAGUUAGUCCAGAAUGCGGCAGCCAAGUUGGUCUCUGGGUCAUCUCGGAGAGACCAUAUUACUCCUAUCUUAUAAAGCCCUAAACAGCUUGGGCCCUGUGUAUUUACAAGAACGUCUUCUUUGCUAUGAACCAUACCGCCCAUUGAGAUCAUCUGGAGAGGUUCGUCUGCAGUUGCCACUGGCUCGUCUGGUGGCUUUCAGGUGGGCUAUAGGGUUAGACUGCCUUGGUCGGCCUGAUGGAUGAUCUCCAAUUGCCUAUAUCAGCUUCAGCUGAUAUACCAGAUGCGUCCAUUCUUGGAGAUUAGUGACCUUAAAGCAGUAGUACAUAUGCUGGUAACCUCUAGGCUUAACUACUGUAAUGCACUCUACGUGGGGCUGCCUUUGUAUGUAGUUCGGACACUACAAUUGGUACAAAAUGCAGCAGCCAGACUGGUCUCUGGGUUUACCCGAAGGGACCAUAUAACACCAAUUCUAAAAGAACUGCACUGACUGCCGAUAGGUUUCCAAAUGAAAUACGAAGUGCUAGUUAUUACCUAUAAGGCCCUUAACGGCCUAGGUCCUGGGUAUUUUUAAGAGAGUGCUUUCUCUGUUGUGAACCCUGUCACCUAUUAAGAUCAUCUGAAGAGGUCCGACUACGGGUGCCGCAAAUUCGUUUGGUGGCAACUCGGAACCGGGCCUUUUCUGUGGCUGCCCCAGGGCUUUGGAACGCGCUCCCUGCUGAAAUAAGAGCAUCUCCUUCUCUGUUUGCUUUUAGGAGGACCCUGAAGACAUACCUGUUUUCCCAGGCCUUCAACUGAGAAUGCAUUUUAAAAUUUUAUCUAUGUGUUUUUAUUUAUAAUUUUUAUCUUUUAAUGAAUUUUAAAUGUGUUAUAUUGCAUGUUUUAAUUCUGUAAACCACCUAGAGAUUUUUAUAUUAGGCGGUAUAUAAAUUCAAUAAACAAACAAACCAUACUCAGGGACGGGCCUUCUCCACUGCUGCCACAAGGCUCUGGAACACGCUCCCUGCUGAAAUAAGAGCCUCCUCAUCUCUUACAACUUUUAAAAGGGCAGUCAAGACACAUUUGUUCACCCAGGCUUUUAAUUAGAUAUUGUUUUAAUUGUGUUUUAAUAGUUUUAAUUUAUUAAAUUUUAAUUGUUGAAAUAUGUUAAUCUUUUUAUUGGUUGUUUCUACAGUCUUGUAAACUGUCCAGAGAACUUGCGUUUUAGGCGGUAUAAAAAUAUCCUAAAUAAAUGAAUAAAUAAAUUUACCUUAAA